GAUCCCGGUGCCAGGGACCCUGCCCAGUUCCAGGCGUCGCCCUGACCCAGAAACGACUGGGCGCCGCCGUCCUGGAAAGGCCCCAGCGCACGGACAUCUGAGGGAUACUUAUCCGCUUUUUCCCCUUGGAGUCCUGGCAGAUUGGCAAGAUAGGGACGGUCAUGACUUUUUUAUGAUUGGGCACGGAGGGAUCCAGGGCAUCUGUGAACUGGCUGCUUCUUCCAGAGAGAUCUCUUGGCAGAGUGAGGGCCUGGAGAUAACCAGCUUUGGAUUAUCCCGCAUGCAACAUUCCUGUGAUCACAUAAUCCUCUUCUUCAUCCUCAUAUGAAAUAAAUGAAGAGAGCUUCCUCAUUCAAACAUG
rnacentral:lncRNA from 1 species